CUGUGUAUUCUUCUUGUAUGCAUCGAAGUAACCUAAUUUAAAUAUAGACAGCAACAAAUUAAAAUCUGCAAAUGCACUUCAGGUUAUAAUUAUUAGAAUGUGAACCAACAGUAUGAUAAUUACUCCGAUCAAUUUAUAGAACAUUUACUGUAACAUCCUGUAAUUAAUCUAGCGAGUAGUAUGAAUGCGAAACCAAAGCAGAAGAUAAAUGAGUUUCCUCCACGGGGAAGAAAAAAAAAACAUCAAUCAACCUUUUAACAUUUGGAAUCGCAGUUUUCCUGUUCUAAUCGGUAUUUAAACGCGACUUAUUAAUCUCACUAUAAUGAUUUUGGUUUAGUUUUCAAAAAGCGUGGAGUGAACAAAAUUGCAUACUCUGGGGAUAAUAAACAUUACCUAGACUGAAUUAUAUUUCGAAGCAAAUAUUACAUGGCGCCAUUUUAUCCUCUAUAAUCACUCCAACCUCCCGUUGGUACUAUCACAGAUUUACGUAUUAGCUACUUCACACCUCCUUUUCCACCGUAAUCCGUUCUUGAAGCACGGCAGACAUAUUGGAGGCCCUGCUAAUUUUAUUUUAUGUAGAUGUGUAGGAAAUCUGCCAUGAUCUAUAAACGUUGAAAUAAAAGACCCGUUGGAAAUAUUUUUAUACGAUAGUUGUUAAGGUAAAUUUGAUUC